rnacentral:rRNA from 1 species
GGGGGAUAACAGUUAGAAAUAGCUGCUAAUACCGCAUAAGCGCACGGUUCCGCAUGGAACAGUGUGAAAAACUCCGGUGGUGUGAGAUGGACCCGCGUCUGAUUAGCCAGUUGGCGGGGUAACGGCCCACCAAAGCGACGAUCAGUAGCCGGCCUGAGAGGGUGAACGGCCACAUUGGGACUGAGACACGGCCCAAACUCCUACGGGAGGCAGCAGUGGGGAAUAUUGCACAAUGGGGGAAACCCUGAUGCAGCGACGCCGCGUGAGUGAAGAAGUAUUUCGGUAUGUAAAGCUCUAUCAGCAGGGAAGAAAGUGACGGUACCUGAAUAAGAAGCCCCGGCUAACUACGUGCCAGCAGCCGCGGUAAUACGUAGGGGGCAAGCGUUAUCCGGAUUUACUGGGUGUAAAGGGAGCGUAGACGGCAAGGCAAGUCUGAAGUGAAAGCCCGGUGCUUAACGCCGGGACUGCUUUGGAAACUGUUUAGCUGGAGUACCGGA